AUUGAACGCUGGCGGCAGGCCUAACACAUGCAAGUCGAACGAGUGGCGGACGGGUGAGUAAUGUCUGGGAAACUGCCUGAUGGAGGGGGAUAACUACUGGAAACGGUCGCUAAUACCGCAUACUAUCGGAUGUGCCCAGGUUGGAUUAGCUAGUGGGUGGGGUAAAGGCUGACCAAGGCGACGAUCCCUAGCUGGUCUGAGAGGAUGAACAGUCAAACUGGAACUGAGACACGGUCCAGACUCCUACGGGAGGCAGCAGUGGGGAAUAUUGGACAAUGGGCGAAAGCCUGAUGCAGCCAUGCCGCGUGUGUGAAGAAGGUCUUCGGGUUGUAAAGUACUUUAAGCUGGGAGGCGUUACCAGCAGAAUAAGCACCGGCUAACUCCGUGCCAGCAGCCGCGGUAAUUC
rnacentral:rRNA from 1 species